AUCGUUUUCGACGGCCAAUACGGGUGACCUUUGGUCUAACACCAUGACGUUAGUCCGUUGGCGAGAGGCGCAAAAGUUUGAUCGGCCGGCGUCUGUGAGGACAAUAUUCGGAUUGGUGUUCGGGCCUCGUUAUAAUUACGUCACUUUCGUUUACGGUUGUCAUGUCGUGCUUAACACCGGUACUUAGCACUGGUUGGCGCUAGUACUUAGUACCUACUUAUCCAUGCAUGGACAUCGAUGAUGUCAUUGCGCAUUUGAGUAGCUUAGUUUUUUUUUUGAUUUUCUGUGGUGACGAGUUUUAACUGUCGAGUGUCUAUAUCUUAUAUGUAGUGUCAACUCUGUUCGCUCAUUCACUAAUCAGUAUUCACUUCUUAAUACUACAAUAAAUAGGUGAGAUAUCUGUAAAAGAGAUGGACAAAACUGCCGAGAACUCACCAUAUAAAAGUAAUCAAAUGCAAGUUCUGAAAUCCGAUCAAAGUAAACCUACACAUUUUAAAAACAGCUCUCACUCUGUUAGAUUACUUGAAGUCUUAAAAUCUUUAUAUAUGAAGUUUUAUGUGAAAUCAGCUUAAAAACAGAUGACGGAACAAUAGUGUUGUGACAUAAAAAUGUUUUAAUAGUAGCUAGUCCAUAUUUCCGUGCAAUGUUUAGUAAUUUUGAUUAUAGCAAUAAAAAUAUUGUCAAUAUAAGAAAAUUAGAUAUCACUAUUUUAUAUCUUAUAACUAUGACUGAGACAUGGUACAGAUACUAAUUGUUGGCAUUCAAGCUAGAUGUCCACCUGUAGUUGAAUUUGGGGUAUUCAAGAUGGAAACAUGGUUUUCAAGUACAUUUCCUCAAGAGACACCGAGUGCCAUUGUAAUUGGAAACAACCACAAGGCACCGAAAUCUACUGAAAUGGAAAUUUAAACAAAACGUAUUGCCAAACAUUACGUAUACUGGGAAAGUUGUUUUUGGAUAAUGAAACUCUAACCUAACUUACGUUCUGGCAAAAAAUGAUAGUCAAACACUGUGAAAUUGGAACAUUAUUUUUGAACCUUACAAUUCUGGACUAUGGCGUUCGAAUACAUUCUGAUGAACAUGAUGGUUUUGUAAGUGUAUCUUUUUAAACUGAUUACUAUUCAAAUGGAAAACAUUGUGAGGUUAAAAUGUAAUGUAUCUUAACAACUUAACCCUGCCUCAGAGAGAAGAGUUUAUCAUAUAAACAAUUUAAGUGCCACCCGUAACACCAGAAAAAUCCCUUCCCGACUGUCAUACAAUGCAUAUUGGAAAAGUGUCAUAUUAGAAUAUUUGAACACAGAGACAGUGACUAUUAAUUGUAUUAAUGAUAUUAGCAAUGAAACUGGUGACUUAAAAACAUUUAAUUUGAAACUUUUUAAUCU